rnacentral:rRNA from 1 species
CACACCCGCCCGUCACAUCACGAAAGCCCCGUUGUACUAGAAGCCGGUGAUUCAACCGCAAGGAGAUAGCCGUCCAAGGUAUGACUGGUGAUUGGGGGUG